UAGGGAAUCUUCCGCAAUGGGCGAAAGCUUGACGGAGCAACGCCGCGUGAGUGAUGAAGGUCUUCGGAUCGUAAAACUCUGUUAUUAGGGAAGAACAAAUGUGUAAGUAACUAUGCACGUCUUGACGGUACCUAAUCAGAAAGCCACGGCUAACUACGUGCCAGCAGCCGCGGUAAUACGUAGGUUGCAAGCGUUAUCCGGAAUUAUUGGGCGUAAAGCGCGCGUAGGCGGUUUUUUAAGUCUGAUGUGAAAGCCCACGGCUCAACCGUGGAGGGUCAUUGGAAACUGGAAAACUUGAGUGCAGAAGAGGAAAGUGGAAUUCCAUGUGUAGCGGUGAAAUGCGCAGAGAUAUGGAGGAACACCAGUGGCGAAGGCGACUUUCUGGUCUGUAACUGACGCUGAUGUGCGAAAGCGUGGGGAUCAAACAGG
rnacentral:rRNA from 2 species